GUACCGUCAAGCCUCCACACGUGGAGGUGUUUCUUCCUGUAUAAAAGCAGUUUACACACCAUAGAUGCUUCUUCCUGCACGCGGCAUGGCUGGUUCAGGCUUGCGCCCAUUGACCAAUAUUCCUCACUGCUGCCUCCCGUAGGAGUA
rnacentral:rRNA from 1 species